rnacentral:rRNA from 1 species
UACGUAUGGUGCAAGCGUUAUCCGGAUUUACUGGGUGUAAAGGGAGCGUAGGCGGCACGGCAAGCCUGAUGUGAAAGCCCGCGGCCCAACCGCGGGACUGCAUUGGGAACUACCGGGCUGGAGUGCCGGAGAGGUAGGCGGAAUUCCUAGUGUAGCGGUGAGAUGCGUAGAUAUUAGGAGGAACACCAGUGGCGAAGGCGGCCUACUGGACGGUGACUGACGCUGAGGCUCGAAAGCGUGGGGAGCAAACAGG